rnacentral:misc_RNA from 1 species
GAACGCACAUUGCGCCCCCUGGUAUUCCGGGGGGCAUGUCUGUUCGAGCGUCAUUUCACCACUCAAGCCUCGCUUGGUAUUGGGCGUCGCGAGUCUCUCGCGCGCCUUAAAGUCUCCGGCUGUUUGACCCGUCUCCCAGCGUUGUGGCAACUAUUUCGCAGUGGAGUUCGAGUUGGAUCGGCCGUUAAAUCUUUCAAAGGUUGACCUCGGAUCAGGUAGGGAUACCCGCUGAACUUAAG